AGUGGCGAACGGGUGAGUAAUGCAUCGGAACGUGCCCAGUCGUGGGGGAUAACGCAGCGAAAGCUGCGCUAAUACCGCAUACGAUCUGCGGAUGAAAGCGGGGGACCUUCGGGCCUCGCGCGAUUGGAGCGGCCGAUGUCAGAUUAGGUAGUUGGUGGGGUAAAGGCCCACCAAGCCGACGAUCUGUAGCUGGUCUGAGAGGACGACCAGCCACAUUGGGACUGAGACACGGCCCAGACUCCUACGGGAGGCAGCAGUGGGGAAUUUUGGACAAUGGGCGCAAGCCUGAUCCAGCAAUGCCGCGUGCAGGAAGAAGGCCUUCGGGUUGUAAACUGCUUUUGUACGGAACGAAACGGCUCUGGUUAAUACCCGGGGCUAAUGACGGUACCGUAAGAAUAAGCACCGGCUAACUACGUGCCAGCAGCCGCGGUAAUACGUAGGGUGCAAGCGUUAAUCGGAAUUACUGGGCGUAAAGCGUGCGCAGGCGGUUGUGUAAGACAGGCGUGAAAUCCCCGGGCUUAACCUGGGAAUGGCGCUUGUGACUGCACAGCUGGAGUGCGGCAGAGGGGGAUGGAAUUCCGCGUGUAGCAGUGAAAUGCGUAGAUAUGCGGAGGAACACCGAUGGCGAAGGCAAUCCCCUGGGCCUGCACUGACGCUCAUGCACAAAAGUGUGGGGAGCAAACAGGAUUAGAUACCCUGG
rnacentral:rRNA from 1 species